UCUGCUAGUGAUUUACUGAAAAUGCGCAAAUUAAAGAACACAGACACAACAUCUCAUUUGCAUAUUGACCAACGCAAUAUACCAAGCACAGCGCAAAUUAGCGUAGUCGCAAAUAAGCAGAACCGAUGAUCAUCAAGUUCGGGUAAUCUACUUACGACACAGGCGAAAAAUUGUUUAAGAUGUGCUUAUUUGGGCAUUAAAUAAUGGUGCAAAUAUCAGUAAUUUGACCAGAGCAAACAUUAGUAAAUCACGUUGCAUGAUUCAUUUGAAUAAUCUCCUCCCAUAAAUUUUGUGUCUGAAAGGGAAACUCCUACAAAUGCAUGUUCAAUAAGGUCAGGCGCAAAAAAAAAACUGUGUCCUCACUUUGUCAGUGUUAAUUCUUCACUGCGCAUCUUUAGUAAAUCCUUACAGUACUAUUUUAACACCAAAAGAUGGUUUGCGCUGGUGCAAGCUGUUAGUAAAUCUGGCCCUCAGUGUCUUAAUUGUUACAUUUUUUAUAAUGCAUUAGCAUUAGCUUACUGUCGAUCCACCAGUUCAAAUUUAUAUGUUUGACGCAUAAAAGUGUGGGUCGAUUUUUGCUUUGGUCUGAAUAAAUACAGCAGACGGGCUUAUUGAAAAUGCACAUUCAUUCUCUGCCAGCAAGUGGUGCUUUUAUAAAUUCUUGUCUUUCCAUCCCCAAAUUUAAGACCUCUUGAAUUUCUUAUACCAUUUAAGACUUUUUAAGGCUUUUAAUUUAAUGCAACAAAAUGUAAGGCUUUUUAAGACCCGCUGAAACCCUGUAUGAGAUUGGCGAUUUCCCACCCAUCUCAAAGCAAAGAUUUACAAGACCCUCAUACGGACAGUCACACUUCACAGUUCAGAGUGUUGGCCUGCAUCCGCCAAACACCAGCAGUCUGGACCAUGUCAGGAAUGAAGACGUGCAGAAAGUACUGGGAAUGGCUCCAAUCAUAGAGAAGAUGAAAGAAGCACAUCUUUAUUGGGACAGCCAUGUCAUUCACAGCGGAGAAGAAUCAAGUGAUAGACAGCAUUGUGCCUUAGCCCCGAUGGAUGGCGACCACAUGUUUGACCAAAGAAGAGAUGAAUGGACUGAGAAAAAAAAAAGAAAAUAUGAAACAAGUCAACACAGCCCCCAACGAUGCCCUAGACUGGAAGAAGUGGAAAGCAAAAUGUCAAUAAGCAGACCUUGCAACAGUGCAGGUUCCACAGCCGAUCGCUGUGAACGAUGUUCCUGUGGGAUCUCCACACCCACAGCCUCUACAGAAGCGAGCAUGCAUCCCAGUGGCCUACUCCUCCAUCCUCUGCGUCUCCUGGGCUACGAGACUGCUGGAGCCUGAAGCUGCCCACCCUCCUGCACCUUUAACCCUCCAAACAACCACAAACACUGACUCACUGAAGACUCCUCAUGCCUUCCAACAAACCACAAACCUCCACACUUCGUGAUUUUAACAGCUUCUGAUCGAGGAAUUAAAGGAGCUGUGGAGCAGAAUCAAAGAAGUGAGUAUAAAGCCCAAACGGAGUGCAUCUUUUACGAGCUCUCAUGAAUUUCCAGACCGACUUUCUUUCUUUUUCUAAAUGUGUAAUUCCAAAUACUACAUGAUGUUUGUCAGUACAUUCUGCUGUACAAUUUUCCAUUAUUGUAAUAGUAAUGAUAAAAUUACAUAUAAAGAUGAACUUCAGUCCUACUUAAAUAUGGCCGAAAGGCACUAUAAUGUUCAGCUAAAAGCAUUUAAUAUGAAUUUAAACUCUAAUACAUUUUAAUUUAAUUGCAAUUAAUUUGUAAUUUAAGUGUCCGAAAACAUAACAUUCAGUUUGCAUUUAAGUAUAUUUUAUUAAAAGUACAUUAAAAAUGUACUUUUUUUUUUUGAAAAAAUCUCUUUAACUUUCGUGUAAUG
ensembl:lncRNA